CGGGCCUGCGGGCCUCGUUCUCUCCUUCUGGACGGCGAUGUCUGCGGCAACAUGGCUCCCGGAUCGUCGGUCAGGCCAAGACGCAUCCGCGCAGAAGCGAUGCCGGGACUCAGUUCAUCAACAUCUCUCGAUUUAGAAAACAGUGGGGCCGCUCGUCUUCUCUGGUGACUCGGGAUGAGGCUGAUUAGACGGCCAAGGCUGCAGACUCCAUGCCGUCGGGCCUGAGAUGCCGGGUUGCCUGGGCGGGAUCCAAGUUAUUCUUUAGCGUAUGCAAUGUCUGAAGACACAAGCUGCCGCAUACCUAUAUUGUGUGUAUCUUCUGCACCAACCAGGAAUCCAACUUUGUGUUUACUAAGUGCUCAAUAAAUAUCUAGUGCAUUAAUGAGCCCA